rnacentral:rRNA from 1 species
CAUUACCGAGUUCUCGGGCUUCGGCUCGAAUCUCCCACCCUUUGUGAACAUACCUCUGUUGCUUUGGCGGCUCUUGCCGCGUGGAGGCCCUCAAAAGCCCCCCCCCCCCGCGCGCUUCCGCCAGAGGACCUUCAAACUCCAGUCAGUAAACGUCGACGUCUGAAAAACAAGUUAAUAAACUAAAACUUUCAACAACGGAUCUCUUGGUUCUGGCAUCGAUGAAGAACGCAGCGAAAUGCGAUAAGUAAUGUGAAUUGCAAAAUUCAGUGAAUCAUCGAAUCUUUGAACGCACAUUGCGCCCCUUGGCAUUCCGAGGGGCAUGCCUGUUCGAGCGUCAUUACAACCCUCAAGCUCUGCUUGGUAUUGGGCGCCGUCCUCUCUGCGGACCCGCCUUAAAGACCUCGGCGGGGGCUGUUCAGCCUCAAGCGUAGUAAAAUACACCUCGCUUUGGAGCGGUUGGCGUCGCCCGCCGGACGAACCUUCUGAACUUUUCUCAAGGUUGACCUCG